AAACAAACAAAACCAAACAGAAAUGAGGCUGGGUUUCUUGGGGAUUUCGGAAGUGCCUGUGUCUCCACGACCCGGGCAGUGCUCUUCCAAGAGGACCAAGGGCUGGGGAAGCAGAGAGAGCAAUGACAGGCCACCAGCAUUGAGAAAGAAGGCCUCAAGGCCACUUUGAGAAGGACCCCACGCCCUGGAGCACAGGCUGAGCCCUGGAUUCUUGACAUUGGAGGCCUUUGGGAGUGCCAGAAUAAGCAGUCCCUCUCCUGGACGAGCCUGCCUUCCCACCACGGAGGCUAACACCACGACAGCCAGCCGCAGUGAGUCACCCCAUCUGCCCAUCUUCCCACGUGUCAAGCACUGUGUUCAGUGCCUUCACAGAUCAAAAACUAAAAAUGUGGGAACAAAAGAAGAUCUUAACCCUCCUGGCUUUUUUCCCAAAGCCAGGAGGCAGGUCCUGAGUGGUGGAUUUUGGACUGCAGGUGAAGCUCCCAGCAAACGGUCUGGCCCAGAGAAAUGCUCAAGAGUAGGAUGAAAAGACCGUGGGCUUCUUCCACUUCAAAAGGAAGGGUUUGGGACUGAUGGACGCUGAAAAGUUUAGAUCUUCAUAAUCCUCAACAGCUGCACUGCCAAUGCACGCACAAAAUGAGUGUGCCCUAUAUUUCCGGCCCUGUGAUGAAUACGAAAAGAGCCUGAAGAACUCAUCUUCCUGGUCCCAAAGUACUUUAAAAUGUCUAUAAUCCCUCAAUCUUAAACACACAUUUUAUUGCUUUUUAUUAUACAAUGAUACAUAUUUACUAUUGAAAAUACAGAUUAAAAGUAGAAAAUGAUUCAUAAUAUCACUAUCCAGGUUUAAAAAAUACUGUUCAACCUUAUGUUGAAGAAUCUGACUCUUUUCUUAUGCAUGCAUGUAUUUCAAGCAAAACUGGACACUUCAGGCGCACCUUGUUUGUAAUCUUUUUUUCUUCCAAAUUAAUAUAUAAUCAAUAUCUUUUUGUAUCAAUCUUCAAUCCUUUCUUCCGUCACUUAUUUUUAACCUACUGUUAGGAUAUUCUGUAAUUUAUUAAAAUGAUCCCCCAUUGUUGAAUACUGAAGUUGAUGAUAAGAAAGUUCGAAUCUUGUUGAGAAGACCAAGCCUGUGAGGAGUAGUUCCAUGAAAUUACAAUUGGAACUUGCUAUGUGCUGAGUGGCAGAAAUGCAAUAGAGUUCUGAAGGGAAGGAGUGGUUUUCGAAUGAAGGGUAGUGGGGAGGCUUUAAAGAGUAGGUAGGGUUGAAGCCAAGCUUUGAGAGAGGGGCUGGAUUUCCACAGGUUAAGAGAUUGUAUUUGAAAUAGAAGAACCAGCAGCAGCAAAGGUGCAGAGCCUUGGGGUUGGGUAGGUGUUUAGGCCCUGGGCAGGGUUCACAUAAGGGACCAGCUCCAGAGAGGGUUAGAAAAGGAGGACAACAGAUUCCAGAGUGGACGGUAAGUGCAAGUCUGGCAAGAAUAAAUAUUACCUUUUUGGGCAACAAGGAGCCACAGAGAGUUUUUGAGCAGGGUUGUGCCAUGAGCAGAGCUGGUUUUAUGAAGUCACCGUACAAGCAGUUAGGGAGGGAAGAGAAUGGCAGGAGAUGGUAUCUGAGGCAGGGAGACCUGUUAGAGGGUGGGGAACAAGUCCAGAGGAGGUGAUGAGACCUGGAUCCAGGCAGUGGCAGGAGGCGAGGGAAAUGGGUUGGAUGCCAUGGCUGGAGAGGGCCCGAAGGAGGAGCCCCUGAAUGCACUAGCCCUUGGGGUUCAUGAAGAGGGGAGCCUGCUGCCUGAUACCUGGGGUCCUGGGAAGAGUUAAUAGGCUGCUUGUGGGCGAGCUAAUUGGUCCUCCAGUGGGGCUGACUCAUCCCAGCAUCCAAGCCAGUUAUUACUAAUGCUGGGGAGGGAGAGAGAAAGAAAAAAUAAAACAAAAAGCAGAGCAGUGGGAAUUCUGUCUGAUUGAAAAGUUCCAGGGUUGGCCUCC
rnacentral:lncRNA from 1 species